UACGGAGGGUGCAAGCGUUGUCCGGAAUUAUUGGGCGUAAAGCGCGCUCAGGCGGUCCUUUAAGUCUGAUGUGAAAGCCCACGGCUCAACCGUGGAGGGUCAUUGGAAACUGGGGAACUUGAGUGCAGAAGAGGAAAGUGGAAUUCCAUGUGUAGCGGUGAAAUGCGUAGAGAUGUGGAGGAACACCAGUGGCGAAGGCGACUUUCUGGUCUGUAACUGACGCUGAGGAGCGAAAGUGUGGGGAGCGAACAGG
rnacentral:misc_RNA from 1 species